GCUUACACCGUCGUUUUUGCUCCCUUUUGGCUGCCUGUGCUGCCGCGUUCGAUUCGCCGCUGCUUGGUCUCGUUUGGUUCCAUCCGCUAUGGCAGAGGGCCGGGAUUUGCACGGCGUGGAUCGCUGCUUCCAUGGUUCUUGAACCUGUUCAUCAGCACAGCAAAGGUCUUCCGCGGCGGCAGCUCGCGUGCGGACCCUCCUGUCUUUCCUUCGCUUUCUGGAUCGACUCGUUCGUGUCUUCUCUGUCUUGUCCUCCUCUCGUACUUGCUUCGUCCUUGUUGUCCCACGGCGUUCGCGGGCCUCUUCGUCCGAGCCUGUGACCCUCUCCAGAGCGUGCACGAGCCUGCAGCCAUGGAGGCUGUCAGGUACCUGCAGCGGCGAUAUGGUUUUCUUGUGCGCGACUAUAAUUUCCAAUCUAUGUUAGCAUAUAGAACGAUAGCAAAGUGUGCUGUUGAGACUGCGUUGUUGGCUUGUGGGUGUAUCACGCGAUAUAGAUCGUGCUGCUCACACACGCCUCCACGUUGUGAUGAUAUCAUUCAGUCGUGUGCUUCGCUGUGGUUUAAUCUUUAUAUUGAGGAUGGUGAUCACUCUGCUCAUGUGUAGAGCACCCCUGAUGUAUGCCACUCGGAGAUGUUGUGUUUUCUGUAUGCUACUCUUUGUUUUAUAUGCUGUUAUUUAUUGAGGUGUUGUACUUGUCG
rnacentral:lncRNA from 1 species